GACCCCAGGUCAGGCGGGAUUACCCGGCUG
rnacentral:rRNA from 1 species